GCGCCGGUGGUCUAGUGGGAGGACAUGAGCUUCCCAAGCUCAUAGCCCGGGUUCAACUCCCGGUCGGCGCA
rfam:Haladaptatus litoreus strain CGMCC 1.7737 genome assembly, contig: Ga0104463_102